UACAGAGGGGGCAAGCGUUGUUCGGAAUUACUGGGCGUAAAGGCGCGUAGGCGGCCUGCUAAGUCGAACGUGAAAUCCCCGGGCUCAACCCGGGAACUGCGUCCGAGACUGGCAGGCUUGAAUCCGGGAGAGGGAUGUGGAAUUCCAGGUGUAGCGGUGAAAUGCGUAGAUAUCUGGAGGAACAUCGGUGGCGAAGGCGGCAUCCUGGACCGGUAUUGACGCUGAGGCGCGAAAGCCAGGGGAGCAAACGGG
rnacentral:rRNA from 1 species